rnacentral:rRNA from 1 species
AUUGAACGCUGGCGGCAUGCCUUACACAUGCAAGUCGAACGGUAACAGGUCUUCGGAUGCUGACGAGUGGCGAACGGGUGAGUAAUACAUCGGAACGUGCCUAGUAGUGGGGGAUAACUACUCGAAAGAGUGGCUAAUACCGCAUGAGAUCUACGGAUGAAAGCAGGGGAUCGCAAGACCUUGUGCUACUAGAGCGGCCGAUGGCAGAUUAGGUAGUUGGUGGGAUAAAAGCUUACCAAGCCGACGAUCUGUAGCUGGUCUGAGAGGACGAUCAGCCAGACUGGGACGGAGCAACGGACCGGACUCCUACGGGAGGCAGCAGUGGGGAAUUUUGGACAAUGGGCGAAAGCCUGAUCCAGCAAUGCCGCGUGCAGGAUGAAGGCCUUCGGGUUGUAAACUGCUUUUGUACGGAACGAAAAGCCCUGGGUUAAUACCCUGGGGUCAUGACGGUACCGUAAGAAUAAGCACCGGCUAACUACGUGCCAGCCGCCGCCGUAA